GACGAACGCUGGCGGCGUGCUUAACACAUGCAAGUCGAACGGAAAGGCCCUGCUUUUGUGGGGUGCUCGAGUGGCGAACGGGUGAGUAACACGUGAGUAACCUGCCCUUGACUUUGGGAUAACUUCAGGAAACUGGGGCUAAUACCGGAUAGGAGCUCCUGCUGCAUGGUGGGGGUUGGAAAGUUUCGGCGGUUGGGGAUGGACUCGCGGCUUAUCAGCAUGUUGGUGGGGUAGUGGCUUACCAAGGCUUUGACGGGUAGCCGGCCUGAGAGGGUGACCGGCCACAUUGGGACUGAGAUACGGCCCAGACUCCUACGGGAGGCAGCAGUGGGGAAUAGUGCACAAUGGGCGGAAGCCUGAUGCAGCAACGCCGCGUGCGGGAUGACGGCCUUCGGGUUGUAAACCGCUUUCGCCUGUGACGAAGCGUGAGUGACGGUAAUGGGUAAAGAAGCACCGGCUAACUACGUG
rnacentral:rRNA from 1 species